rnacentral:misc_RNA from 1 species
UCCCCCGUGAGGGGGCAGUCUCGCCUGAUACGUGUAACAGGCAACGAAGGUUGCGUUCGUUACCCCACUGAAGGGAACGAUUCAAGCCACGAACUGACGACGACCAUGCAUCACCUGCCCAGCCGUCUUGCGAAGUCCAAAGUUUCCUAAGGAUGUCGUCUGGGUUUCAAACCCUGGUGAGGUUCUUCGUUUGUCAUCGAAUUGAGCCGCAUGAUCCACCGCUUGUGCAAGUCCCCGUCUAUUCCUUUGAGUUUUAAUCUUGCGAUCGUACUACCCAGGCGCAUCACUUAACGCGUUAGCUUCGCCUCGCAGAGGGUCGAUACUCCGCAAAGCCAGUGAUGAUCGUUUAGGGCGUGGACUAC